UUAUGGCCAUAUCAUGUUGAAACACCGAUUCCCGUACGACCACCGUAGUUAAUCAUCCUCGAAUCUGUUCAAUACCUAGAUUAGUGGCCGCUUGGGAAUACCAGGUAUUA